CGUUCGUUCGUUCGAUCUAUUGUUUUGCAAAUUUUUUUUAACCGUAUCUACGCACGUUCAGUGCGGACCCCCGACGAUGACGAUGAGAACGUCGAGGACGAUUGCGAGGACAGUUAGAACGGAAACUAAGUCCGCGUUCGACGUCAGGAAGAAAGAGAGAAAGAAAGAAAGAAAGAAAGAAAGAGAAAGACUCCAACAUGUGUAUGUUUGUGUUGUGUGUGUGUGUGUAUGUAUUAAAGAAAGAGAGAGAGAGAGAGAGAGAGAGAGAGAGUGAGAGAAAGAGUGACGGCGUGGAGAGGGGAAAGAGGAAGCCUGCUCUCGCCCAGCCGGCUGUUCGAAGCAGCUGCUCGAUACGCUUCCAUCGUACUGAAGAGCACACGCACGCACGAUCCACCAGACGAGUAUAUUAUUCCAUACGAGAAUCCGAUAAGUUGGUGGUGGAGAGGGGGUGAGGAGGUUGGUGAAAGAAGAGGAAGAGAAGAAAGAAAAAUGUUCCUAGGCGUAUACUUUAAAUAGUUCAUAAAUCAAAAAUCGCUUUGAUUUUUAUGUUAAAAAAUUUUCCUCGUAUUUGCUCCAGGGUAAACGAAUAAUUUUUUAUCGACAA